UGGGGAAUAUUGCACAAUGGGGGAAACCCUGAUGCAGCGACGCCGCGUGAGCGAAGAAGUAUCUCGGUAUGUAAAGUUCUAUCAGCAGGGAAGAAAAUGACGGUACCUGACUAAGAAGCACCGGCUAAAUACGUGCCAGCAGCCGCGGUAAUACGUAUGGUGCAAGCGUUAUCCGGAUUUACUGGGUGUAAAGGGAGCGUAGACGGAGAAGCAAGUCUGGAGUGAAAACCCGGGGCUCAACCCCGGGACUGCUUUGGAAACUGUUUUUCUGGAGUGCCGGAGAGGUAAGCGGAAUUCCUAGUGUAGCGGUGAAAUGCGUAGAUAUUAGGAGGAACACCAGUGGCGAAGGCGGCUUACUGGACGGUAACUGACGUUGAGGCUCGAAAGCGUGGGGAGCAAACA
rnacentral:rRNA from 1 species